CAGUCGCCGCGGGAAUACGUAGGGUGCAAGCGUUAAUCGGAAUUACUGGGCGUAAAGCGUGCGCAGGCGGUUUUGUAAGACAGAGGUGAAAUCCCCGGGCUCAACCUGGGAACUGCCUUUGUGACUGCAAGGCUAGAGUACGGCAGAGGGGGAUGGAAUUCCGCGUGUAGCAGUGAAAUGCGUAGAUAUGCGGAGGAACACCGAUGGCGAAGGCAAUCCCCUGGGCCUGUACUGACGCUCAUGCACGAAAGCGUGGGGAGCAAACAGGAUUAGAUACCCCUGUAGUCCCUGUCUCUUAUAC
rnacentral:rRNA from 1 species